AACGAACGCUGGCGGCAGGCUUAACACAUGCAAGUCGAGCGCCCCGCAAGGGGAGCGGCAGACGGGUGAGUAACGCGUGGGAAUCUACCCAUCUCUACGGAAUAACGCAUGGAAACGUGUGCUAAUACCGUAUACGUCCUUCGGGAGAAAGAUUUAUCGGAGAUGGAUGAGCCCGCGUUGGAUUAGCUAGUUGGUGGGGUAAAGGCCUACCAAGGCGACGAUCCAUAGCUGGUCUGAGAGGAUGAUCAGCCACACUGGGACUGAGACACGGCCAAGAAUCCUACGGGAGGCAGCAGUGGGGAAGAUUGGACAAUGGGCGCAAGCAUGAUCCAGCCAUGCCGCGUGAGUGAUGAAGACCCUAGGGUUGUAAAGCUCUUUCACCGGUGAAGAUAAUGACGGUAACCGGAGAAGAAGCCCCGGCUAACUUCGUGCCAGCCGCCGCAGUAAAAC
rnacentral:rRNA from 1 species